CCAGCCAGUUUACCAGCUGUUAAGAUUUCUGGGAGUAGCAUCCAGUAGAAGUGGUUCAUUUCAUUAGCAUUUGCUAUUAUCCAUGGUUUCCUAUUUCUGCAGUAAAUUCUGGAACUUAUCUCCCACGGAUAUGGGGGUUGUGCUGUACAAAAAUAGUUCGUACUCAGCAAAAGGGAGAAGAUAAGCUCAAAGCAAACUGCUACAGCCUCUCCUAACUUGUCUGUUCUUCCUCUUUAAGAACUUUUGCUAUCUUGGCCCCAUUAUAACAUUGCUUAACCACAUCUGUCCCAGUUUUCAUCUGUGAAUAUUGCACACAGUAACAACAAACAUGAUUGCUAAAGUUGACACAGGAUCAUAGGAAAGGAUUCUGUACCACUCUUCAUCAACUAGCCAUGGUGAAGGACAUCUGAAGAGGUGGCAUAACAUCCAAGAUUCUGUAUUUCUGUUCCGUGCUGUUUCUGAAAAAGGAAGCCAGAUGUCCAUGAGGUCUGAGGGCAAGGAAGUUAGCUUGUUGCUAGAAACAUCCAGAUGAAUACACCUCUCGCUGUAUUGUUUUAAAUAAGGCAUCUGCUUCCACAGACACAGGGAGCUUGGAAGGAUCAAGAGCAAGAUAAUCCAGCCUCUUGCUCAAAGAGAAAAAACAUCUGUUUGUCAGCCCUCUCAAUGAAACUUUAAUUGUGAGGAAUUAUGUAAUGCCAGCAAUGCAUCUAUACAAACAGAAAGAUUUUGAUUCAAUUUACUGUAAAGGGUAAAAACAAAUUCCUGUGUAUCAAUCCCAUGUAUACCCUCCCCAAAGUUAAGGAAUAAAAUACACUUCGUGGUUGUACAUUUUCCAGGCUGUAUGGCCAUGUUCCAGAAUUAUUCUCUCCUGACGUUUCACCCACACCUGUGGCAGGCAUCCUCAGAGGUUGUGAGGUAUGGAGAAACUAAACAAG